GUCUUCCAGAGCUCUAGAAUUCGAUGGCUCUUUAGAAAGGGUCACUCCAGGCAAGAAGCCAGGGACUUUGUAUUCCCUGUUGGGAGUCAUUGGACGUAGGCUGCCUCCAGGGAGAGACCAUGUCCUCGAGAAGGUGGAUCUCUUCAGCUGGGCACAACUCCUGGAAAGGGACUCAGUUGCCAUGAUCAAAAGAGAAGUAAAUAUAUCAAGCCUGAAAGGAUACUCUCAUACAGUAGGCUUUCGAGCUGGCCUAGAAUCAGAGUAUCACAGAGAAACAUAGAGCUAGUUAAGCAUGAACACUAGACACGGUAUUUGUGCUUCUGGAUUUAGCCACUCCUGAAUUCCUUACCUCUUAGACUUUUUCAUGUUAUCAAUUUAAAAAACUCUCAUCUAUUUUUUUGGUUGCUCUUUUUUUUUUCAGUGAUUUUUUUUUUUUUGUCAUCGAUUGAGACAUCAUUCUUUCAUAUUAUCCCCUUUUUCUCAAGGUUCUAUCUCCUUCAUUUUCUUACAUUCAUACUUGACAUUAUACAAGAGGAAGAUUCUAAAGGAAAAUAAGCUGAAGAGGAAUAUCAGAAAAUUUGUUCUUUGAAAUCUCCUGAAAGAAAGGAUUACUGAUAGAUUUUAAUAGCUAAUGGCUUGAGCAAGAUUGUAAAACUGAAGACUGUCUUUCACAGAUGGGCAUUGUUAAAUAUAUUGCUCUUAAUGAGAGGGAAUAGGGAUGGAGAGUAAACUUCCUGAAAACUGAAUGAAUUUAGGAUGAGGCACUGAUUUUUUUGACAGUACUGACAAUGUUUCCCUAUUCAUGUACUAAACAACGCGGCUUUUUGGGCCUGAAAGGAAACUCAAAUGAUUUGGGAAUCCAAGUAUUGCUUUAAAAGAGAAAAAGAAAUUGCUCUAAAUAUGGUGCAUCUCAGGAAGAAGAAUGAUAUACUUGAUAUUUAGCACUGUCUCCACUGUGUGCCAUGCUUCAUCAGUCAAAUGAGCUUAGAUCUCAGUUAUAAUUGCUUAUAAGUAUUCAAGGCAAGAAAACUACAUGGGCAAAUACAAUAUUUCCUCCACUAUGACUUUGAUGAACCAGAAUUAAUUUCACAUUGUGAUCAGUUGAUUUUUGCUUCACGGCAAAAGCUUGAGGUUGUUCUCACCAGUCUUGGGAACUCACAUACCUGGAUGCGCUGACGGAGCCUGAUGCCCUCUCUCCUCCAUCUUAAAGCCAUUUCUUCUCCUCGGGAACAGCUAAUUCAUUUUACACUGGGAAAGUUAAAUUUAGCAAAAGGAGCCUUUUCAGAGCUGAGAGUUGUUGCUGAUCUGGGAGCCUGUCAAGGUGAUUCCAUGCCAACUUGGACUGGCCUGGUGUUGAGGCUUCCAAUCUUGCCAAAUGUUGUGCUUAUUUUGUGACAAAGAUGAAAGUCACAGUUGGAUUUAAAAGGAGGCCAUCCAGUUUAUUUUAUUCUUGUCUCAACUCUCUAAAUCUUUGUCUUCAUGACUGAAAGCUUUGUAAAUAAACAGGUGUCCACAUGUCCCAGUGUGAACUAAAAUUUUAUGGAACCAGAGAGGGAAUUGAUUUAUUUUUAAAAGAAAAGUUAUUGUAAUACUUUUCUUUGGAAACUAGAGGUAAUAGUUGUUCUACAGUCUGUUUCCACAGAUUUAUUACUGUCCAUACUCAGUAUUUCCAUGGGAUUUAGGGUAAGAGUGUUGCAUAAAAAGGUAUGGGUUUGACAUAUGUCUUGGGAGCUAGACAAGCUCUCGUCAAUGUAAGAAAUGUUUAUAGAGUGUGAAGUUUCUCUGUAAGUGCUGAAGAGAGGCCAUCGCCCGUAUUUACGGUUUCAUUUAUGGUACAAGAUCCGUACACUGAAAUAGAUACGUAAACUCAGGUAUCCUCAGCCAGAGCACUUUGCCACUUUUUUCUCAAAUGCCUAAAAAUAUAAUUUCCUCCUGCUGCUGCACAGUAAAAUAAAUAUUCUUAUUAUGAAUAAUGUCUUCUAUGGUAAUGCACACAGAUGCAUGUGCAAACAUUUAUGCAAAACCACACUUUUUUCUAAUUAACUAAUCUUCCAAAGUGCCUAAGAAUUCCCUGUUUGGACAUGAAGCAUCUCAGGUACCUGCAUAUAACUGCUUCAGCAAACUAAAAGCCAAGUGUCUCAUUUGUAAUAGCACAAUAAUCUCGGCAUGGAGGGGCGUAUUCAGUGGGGUUAUAUUGUUUUCAGUAUUAAAUUUAGGUGUUGGCAACGAUGUAAUAUUUACUCUAAAGUCAAUUUUAAAAGUUUUGAGAUAUGUGUAUGUAUAUAAUAUUUAUAUACUAUAGAAAAUACCCUAUCUUGAAUUAUCCUAACAAUUAUAUUUUUUAACAUAUUUAAAA